rnacentral:rRNA from 1 species
GACGGAGGAUGCAAGUGUUAUCCGGAAUCACUGGGCGUAAAGCGUCUGUAGGUGGUUUAAUAAGUCAACUGUUAAAUCUUGAGGCUCAACCUCAAAAUCGCAGUCGAAACUAUUAGGCUAGAGUAUAGUAGGGGUAAAGGGAAUUUCCAGUGGAGCGGUGAAAUGCGUAGAGAUUGGAAAGAACACCGAUGGCGAAGGCAGUCUGCUGGGCAGUUGCUGACACUGAUGCGCGACAGCGUGGGGAGCAAACAGG